GCCGGGCGUGGUGGCUCAUGCCUGUAAUCCCAGCACUUUGGGAGGCUGAGGCAGGUGGAUCACCUGAGGUCAGGAGUUCAAGACCAGCCUGACCAAUACAGUGAAAUCCUGUCUCUA
rnacentral:SRP_RNA from 1 species